GGCGUGCGUCACCCCCACCCCCGCGAGAGCCGACUGGGAGCCUGACCCGCCCCCCCGCCACGGGCCAGUGAGGGGCCGGCCCUCGUUACCCUCACCAUUCCCCCCCGGUCCCCGGGGAGAGGCCAGCCUGAGGCCACGCUGCGCCAGCCCUGCUGGGAGGGAAGCACAAAUUUCGAUCUGCUGAAUGUUUCAAAGCUUGAGAAAAAAAUUUCAUCCCAGAUGGGGCCAAAAAAUAAAAACCUCAAAAUGUCUGGCUGGAGAGACAUUCCAAAUAGACGUCUUUGGGAAGAGCUGAAAUGGAAGUUUUCUGCCUGCAAGGAGAAGGUGACUUUGGUGGGAACUGCAUCAUUACAGACCAUUUGCAGCUUUUGUAUAGCCCUUCUGGUCAGUAUGUUGAGCAUGUCCAGAGGACUAGUCUGGAAGUUACAAAAGCGUGGAUUACCAGAGCCUGUCAUCUUCACUUCAGAGAAGAGUAACUUUUAAUACUGUAACAAAUGGGAGAAAAUAAAUAUUUUCCUCUUUUUUGCA